rnacentral:tRNA from 1 species
AGAAGCUUAGGAUAACUUAAACCAAGGGCCUUCAAAGCCCUAAAUAGGGGCCUCACCCCUAGCUUCUG